rnacentral:rRNA from 1 species
CAGUAGCCGCGGUAAUACGUAGGUGGCGAGCGUUGUCCGGAAUUAUUGGGCGUAAAGGGAGCGCAGGCGGACAUAUAAGUCCAUCUUAAAAGUGCGGGGCUCAACCCCGUGAGGGGAUGGAAACUGUAUGCCUUGAGUGCAGGAGAGGAAAGCGGAAUUCCCAGUGUAGCGGUGAAAUGCGUAGAUAUUAGGAAGAACACCAGUGGCGAAGGCGACUUUCUGGACGAAAACUGACGCUGAGGCGCGAAAGCCAGGGAAGCGAACGGGAUUAGAUACCCGUGUAGUCCCUGUCUCUUAUACA